rnacentral:tRNA from 1 species
GCGCCCGUAGCUCAGUCAGAAUAGAGCGUCCAUCUACGAAGCCGGAUAUCGCGCGUUCGAAUCGCGCCGGGUGUA